AACGAACGCUGGCGGCAUGCCUAACACAUGCAAGUCGAACGAAGCCUUCGGGCUUAGUGGCGCACGGGUGCGUAACGCGUGGGAAUCUGCCCUUGGGUUCGGAAUAACAGUUAGAAAUGACUGCUAAUACCGGAUGAUGUCUUCGGACCAAAGAUUUAUAGCCCAAGGAUGAGCCCGCGUAGGAUUAGGUAGUUGGUGGGGUAAUGGCCGACCAAGCCGACGAUCCUUAGCUGGUCCGAGAGGAUGAUCAGCCACACUGGGACUGAGACACGGCCCAGACUCCUACGGGAGGCAGCAGUGGGGAAUAUUGGACAAUGGGCGAAAGCCUGAUCCAGCAAUGCCGCGUGAGUGAUGAAGGCCUUAGGGUUGUAAAGCUCUUUUACCAGGGAUGAUAAUGACAGUACCUGGAGAAUAAGCUCCGGCUAACUCCGUGCCAGCCGCCGCGGUAAGAC
rnacentral:rRNA from 1 species